rnacentral:rRNA from 1 species
UUCGCCCUUAGAGUUUGAUCCUGGCUCAGGACGAACGCUGGCGGCGUGCUUAACACAUGCAAGUCGAGCGGGGACAGUGGAAGUGCUUGCACAGAAUCUGUUCUAGCGGCGGACGGGUGAGUAACGCGUGAGCAAUCUGUCCUACACAGGGGGAUAACAACUGGAAACAGUUGCUAAUACCGCAUAAGACCACGGGGUCGCAUGGCUCUGAGGUAAAAGAUUUAUCGGUGUAGGGUGAGCUCGCGUCUGAUUAGCUGGUUGGUGAGGUAACGGCCCACCAAGGCGACGAUCAGUAGCCGACCUGAGAGGGUGAUCGGCCACAUUGGAACUGAGACACGGUCCAGACUCCUACGGGAGGCAGCAGUGGGGAAUAUUGGGCAAUGGGCGCAAGCCUGACCCAGCAACGCCGCGUGAAGGAAGAAGGUUUUCGGAUUGUAAACUUCUGUCCUUGGUGACGAACACAAUGACGGUAGCCAAGGAGGAAGCCCCGGCUAACUACGUGCCAGCAGCCGCGGUAAUACGUAGGGGGCAAGCGUUGUCCGGAAUGACUGGGCGUAAAGGGCGUGUAGGCGGCUUUUUAAGUGUGAAGUGAAAGUCCUGCUUUCAAGGUGGGAACUGCUUUGCAAACUGGAGAGCUUGAGCGCGGAAGAGGUAAGUGGAAUUCCCAGUGUAGCGGUGAAAUGCGUAGAGAUUGGGAGGAACACCAGUGGCGAAGGCGACUUACUGGGCCGUAACUGACGCUGAGGCGCGAAAGCGUGGGGAGCGAACAGGAUUAGAUACCCUGGUAGUCCACGCUGUAAACGAUGAAUGCUAGGUGUAGCGGGUAUCGACCCCUGCUGUGCCGCAGUAAACACAAUAAGCAUUCCGCCUGGGGAGUACGGCCGCAAGGUUGAAACUCAAAGGAAUUGACGGGGGCCCGCACAAGCAGCGGAGCAUGUUGUUUAAUUCGAAGCAACGCGAAGAACCUUACCAGGUCUUGACAUCGAGGAAAACCUUCAGAGAUGAAGGGUGAGCUUGCUCGUCCGAAGACAGGUGGUGCAUGGUUGUCGUCAGCUCGUGUCGUGAGAUGUUGGGUUAAGUCCCGCAACGAGCGCAACCCCUAUCCCCAGUAGCCAGCAGUUCGGCUGGGCACUCUGAGGAGACUGCCAGGGAUAACCUGGAGGAAGGCGGGGAUGACGUCAAAUCAUCAUGCCCCUUAUGAUUUGGGCUACACACGUGCUACAAUGGCGUAAACAAAGGGAAGCGAGCCUGCGAAGGUAAGCAAAUCCCAAAAAUAACGUCCCAGUUCGGACUGCAGUCUGCAACUCGACUGCACGAAGCUGGAAUCGCUAGUAAUCGCGGAUCAGAAUGCCGCGGUGAAUACGUUCCCGGGUCUUGCACACACCGCCCGUCA